AUGUGGUACAAUGAUAGCUCAAUAAACUUCAUUGUAUUUGACAAAUCUCAUUGAAGUCAUGAUUUUAAAGUCAAUGUUUGUGUUUGUGUUUGGCAUCACUUCCAACAUUUCUAUCUUUCUACAAAUGUUUUGUUGCUGAUGUUUAUGAUCUAUCUGUAUGGAUGGCAGCUGCAGCAAGACAAUAAGCCACACCUACUUGACACAGAGCAAUUUCUGAAAUUUGUGAAGUUGGAUGAAGGAACAGUUUGAAUAAAAUGUGUAAAUGAACGGACAUAACAGCAAGCAGAUAAUAGGUGGCAACAUUGCUGAUAUGAGUGGACAAGCAA